rnacentral:antisense_RNA from 1 species
UAUAUCUAAAUACUGAUGAAAUAAAUUGUAAUAGCGAUAUGUAUUUUUAUCUGUACAGUCGAAA